rnacentral:rRNA from 1 species
CUGGAGGUAUCAGAAGUGCGAAUGCUGACAUAAGUAACGAUAAAGCGGGUGAAAAGCCCGCUCGCCGGAAGACCAAGGGUUCCUGUCCAACGUUAAUCGGGGCAGGGUGAGUCGACCCCUAAGGCGAGGCCGAAAGGCGUAGUCGAUGGGAAACAGGUUAAUAUUCCUGUACUUGGUGUUACUGCGAAGGGGGGACGGAGAAGGCUAUGUUGGCCGGGCGACGGUUGUCCCGGUUUAAGCGUGUAGGCUGGUUUUCCAGGCAAAUCCGGAAAAUCAAGGCUGAGGCGUGAUGACGAGGCACUACGGUGCUGAAGCAACAAAUGCCCUGCUUCCAGGAAAAGCCUCUAAGCAUCAGGUAACAUCAAAUCGUACCCCAAACCGACACAGGUGGUCAGGUAGAGAAUACCAAGGCGCUUGAGAGAACUCGGGUGAAGGAACUAGGCAAAAUGGUGCCGUAACUUCGGGAGAAGGCACGCUGAUAUGUAGGUGAAGCGACUUGCUCGUGGAGCUGAAAUCAGUCGAAGAUACCAGCUGGCUGCAACUGUUUAUUAAAAACACAGCACUGUGCAAACACGAAAGUGGACGUAUACGGUGUGACGCCUGCCCGGUGCCGGAAGGUUAAUUGAUGGGGUUAGCGGUAACGCGAAGCUCUUGAUCGAAGCCCCGGUAAACGGCGGCCGUAACUAUAACGGUCCUAAGGUAGCGAAAUUCCUUGUCGGGUAAGUUCCGACCUGCACGAAUGGCGUAAUGAUGGCCAGGCUGUCUCCACCCGAGACUCAGUGAAAUUGAACUCGCUGUGAAGAUGCAGUGUACCCGCGGCAAGACGGAAAGACCCCGUGAACCUUUACUAUAGCUUGACACUGAACAUUGAGCCUUGAUGUGUAGGAUAGGUGGGAGGCUUUGAAGUGUGGACGCCAGUCUGCAUGGAGCCGACCUUGAAAUACCACCCUUUAAUGUUUGAUGUUCUAACGUUGGCCCCUGAUCGGGGUUGCGGACAGUGUCUGGUGGGUAGUUUGACUGGGGCGGUCUCCUCCUAAAGAGUAACGGAGGAGCACGAAGGUUGGCUAAUCCUGGUCGGACAUCAGGAGGUUAGUGCAAUGGCAUAAGCCAGCUUGACUGCGAGCGUGACGGCGCGAGCAGGUGCGAAAGCAGGUCAUAGUGAUCCGGUGGUUCUGAAUGGAAGGGCCAUCGCUCAACGGAUAAAAGGUACUCCGGGGAUAACAGGCUGAUACCGCCCAAGAGUUCAUAUCGACGGCGGUGUUUGGCACCUCGAUGUCGGCUCAUCACAUCCUGGGGCUGAAGUAGGUCCCAAGGGUAUGGCUGUUCGCCAUUUAAAGUGGUACGCGAGCUGGGUUUAGAACGUCGUGAGACAGUUCGGUCCCUAUCUGCCGUGGGCGCUGGAGAACUGAGGGGGGCUGCUCCUAGUACGAGAGGACCGGAGUGGACGCAUCACUGGUGUUCGGGUUGUCAUGCCAAUGGCACUGCCCGGUAGCUAAAUGCGGAAGAGAUAAGUGCUGAAAGCAUCUAAGCACGAAACUUGCCCCGAGAUGAGUUCUCCCUGACUCCUUGAGAGUCCUGAAGGAACGUUGAAGACGACGACGUUGAUAGGCCGGGUGUGUAAGCGCAGCGAUGCGUUGAGCUAACCGGUACUAAUGAACCGUGAGGCUUAACCUUACAAC